AUUGAACGCUGGCGGCAGGCCUAACACAUGCAAGUCGAGCGGAUGACGGGAGCUUGCUCCUUGAUUCAGCGGCGGACGGGUGAGUAAUGCCUAGGAAUCUGCCUGGUAGUGGGGGACAACGUUUCGAAAGGAACGCUAAUACCGCAUACGUCCUACGGGAGAAAGCAGGGGACCUUCGGGCCUUGCGCUAUCAGAUGAGCCUAGGUCGGAUUAGCUUGUUGGUGAGGUAAUGGCUCACCAAGGCGACGAUCCGUAACUGGUCUGAGAGGAUGAUCAGUCACACUGGAACUGAGACACGGUCCAGACUCCUACGGGAGGCAGCAGUGGGGAAUAUUGGACAAUGGGCGAAAGCCUGAUCCAGCCAUGCCGCGUGUGUGAAGAAGGUCUUCGGAUUGUAAAGCACUUUAAGUUGGGAGGAAGGGUUGUAGAUUAAUACUCUGCAAUUUUGACGUUACCGACAGAGUAAGCACCGGCUAACUCUGUG
rnacentral:rRNA from 1 species